AGGUGCCUGUGCAUUGUUACGGAGCAAUAAAACAUAUGCAUACAUGAAUUGAAUAUGCCUUCCUAUUUCACAAUUCCUUACAAAUUGAACAUCGUGAGUCCAAAAUUAAAACAAACAAAACCGGUAACUGAGAUGUGAUAAUAAUCCACAAGGGACAUGUCCAUAAUGCUUAACAAGCUACAUAUCUUCAACAAUUUGCUUAGAUGAUAUAAAGCGAUCUUCAUACUAUAAUGUUGCUCCUAAAUUUGAUUGAUAAUCCUGAAUUUUAGCCCUACCUUCUUCCUCAUUGAUUUAACCUGCUCAUUCUCAAAAUCAGACAAAGGAUAGUUGAAUGUAAAUGACUGAAACCAAGUUACAAGAAGACGAACAAAUUUAAAAUGCUCAGUUGCGUUCAGGUUGUAGCAUUCAACCUAAGCAAUGAUGCCAGCACGCGAAGCAAUCAAGUUGCUGAUCUAGAAAAGAAGUGAAAAGUUAACCUUUCAUGCCCCUGAUCUAGCAUGCAAAAUUGUUGCACAGGGGUCACCACCGGUAGCCAGAAGAAUUAUGUCAGCAGCCUCAUCAUCGUACUGCUCAUACAUGAGAUGUGAAAAGGUAUAGAAAUCCACAAAUUCUACUAAAAAAUCUGCAAGCACAAGCUUUUACAUGGCCAGUUACUCACUUGGAGGAAGACUGCACGAGCGAAGUCAAUGCCAAAAGAGAUGAUCACCUUGUACAGGUCCCUCUGCAACUAACUAAAAAUCUUGGAAAUAUCAUUUUUACCAGAAUUCUCAUGUACAACAGGAAGUCUCUAGUUCUUACCAGAAGGAACAUAACUGCCUUUUCAUUUCCCACUCAUGAUCGCAUAGCAGACACAGGCUCAACCAAGCUUUCUGAAAACUGCAGGAAGGAUGAGCAUAAUCAGCAAUUUCAGUCAGGCGAGCACAAAUGUAUACUUCAGUAGUAAACCACUGCCAAGAAAACAUAAUAAAUGCAUCAACCACAACCGAAUUUUGUAUUCACCAUUUUCUAUCUUCAAUUUUAAAAGAGAAUUCAUUGCCACAAUGGGAUGGGGCAUGCUUUCCUUUAACACUAUCUGACACUGCCGUACGAGAUUCUUUGGUACUAUAUAUUAAAAGACCAAUCUUAAAAUAAUAUAUGCAAAUAAAAAAGAACAAAACUAUGCAACAUGAUGUUCAAACUUCUGAACAAUAACAUUUACCAGUUCAUUUGGUCCAGAGGCCCCUCAACCAAAUGAAAACAAACAAAAUAAAUAAUUUGCACAGUGUCGUGUUCGGGAAACAUCGAGCAUGGACUCAUGUCGAGGAAAAUUAAAAG
rnacentral:lncRNA from 1 species